rnacentral:lncRNA from 1 species
ACACAUAUCAAUCUCAUCGAUGCUGAAAUCCUAGAUCUAACUAUUAGAUCUAAUAUUGCGAUCAAGAUAAGAUAGAAAUCAUUACCAAACCAAUUUGAUAUUGAUCUCCUUUAGUCCAAUGGUUGGAAAAAUUAUUUCUUAGGUCAGUCACAGCCACACAAAGUCAUCUGGCCUCUAUAAAAAAAUCCAUACGAAUAUUGGUGCAGAUCAGAGGCUUGGAGGUAUUAGCCUGCAAGCAACUUCGACAGUUGAUCUCUUCUUUCUUCUUUAAGUAUCUUGGACACUUUAAAGCAAGAGGAGAUCUGG